ACAAGUGACAGCUUGGGGGUCAGGUCCUAACCCAGCAAUUGGACACGCAGUGAUGCCUCCAGGUUUCUGAGACACUGGAGCAUGGGAAGAAUGUGGCCAAGAGGUGAAAAUCUCUCCUGCCCAAUAUAGAGGCAAAGGAAAUUCACUUGGGGCUGAGCUUGGGCAAUGGAACAGGGCUUAUUUAUUCAGUCACCUUUUAUCUGACCCAAUAUUUGAGAACCCAUCACCAACAACAGUUUAUAGACAUAUGACCUUCCGUGAUUGGCAAAGGUGUCCACAUAGACCAUUGUCAUGAUGACGGCGAGAGCUAAGGUCUCUCACUCGUGUGUUUGCUUUCCAUGUGUUUUGUUGAUUAAUCCUCCCAGACUGUAAGGUAGGUUCUCUUGUCCUCAAGUGACUGAUGAGGAAACUAAGGUAGAAAGAGGUUAAGUUGUUUCCCAAGAUAUCACGUGAUGCUCAUAACAAUUUAGUGAGGGAUUUAGGAGAGGAUCUCCGCCAUUUUAUAAAUGAGGCAAUCCAGGUUGGGAAGAAUUACUCAAAGUCAGACUUAUUGGAGCCCAACCCAAAGGUCUUUCUACCAUACUGUGUGGUUCAUAAAAGCAGCAGCAGAGCAUGUAGUUCUGAUUCUUUAAACUAAAGGUAUUUUUAGAGAUGAGUCUUGAUUCCUUGCCUGACCCACAGAGACAAUAGACCAAGCUAACUACUUCAACUAUGCUGGAUCAAUCUGAGAGAGGUUACUUUUGGAGAAUAAGGAUAAAAUUGGAGCUGGGCCUGUUGGUACACACCUAUGCUCAAUGACUGGAAGGUGCUGAGACAGGAGGCUUGCAAGUUCAAGCAAUUUAGCGUGGGCAACUUAGUGAGAACCUGUCUCAAAAUGAAAAGGGCUAAGGAUGUCGCUCAGGGGUAGAGUGCCCCUAGGUCAAUUCCCAGUACUGUAAAAUAAAAUAAAAUAAGGAUAAAGGGAUUCCAUAUUGAAGGUUUUACAGGACAGUCCACAUUCAAGAGAUUUUUGUCUAGUUAUCACCAGAAAUGCACUCUUUCUUUUUACAUUAUGUGUAUGAUUCUUUUUGAAGAAACUUGUAAAAUGGAUGAACUUGAUAUCAGAGCCCCUCCCCCUUCUUACCAGAACCCUCUUGUUCAGAAGCCCCCCACUGUUUGUGGAUGGUUUUGAACCCACAUGAAUCUCUUCUUCGGGUGGAUUCAGAACCAACAGAUCUAGAAUGAUUUUGUGGAGUAGGAUCUUUGACUCUGUGUUUUAGUUAUGCCACAUAAAAAUCUCCCCCAAACGUAGGGCCUUAAACCAAUACGUACUUCUUAUCUCAUAGUUUCUGUAGGUCAUAAAUCUGGGCACAGCUUAACUGGUUUCUCUGCUUCAGGGUCUCUCUGAGGAUGCAGUCAGUAAGGGUUCAGGUCUCAUCUGCAGGUCUGACUGGGACAGUAUCUAAUUCCAAG
rnacentral:lncRNA from 1 species